rnacentral:lncRNA from 1 species
CCUCAUCAAACAUUGACGCAAUUUUUUUAAAUAAUUAUGAAUAUUAAAGAAAGUAUUCAGCUAUUAAUAAUAAUAAUAAUAUAUUUUAUUUGUAACUAAAUAUAUAUAUAUAUAUAUAUAUAUAUAUAUAUACAUACAAUGAGCAUAUUCUUUUACAUAAAAAGUCACUAAACCCAUGUAAACUAAUGCUUGUUGUGGAAUUAAGAGUUCAAUAAUAUGACAUAAUGCUAUAUUAUAUUGUAUGGUUGACAAAGCAACAUUAUCAACUGAACUCGACUCAUAAUCGUUUUUUCGCUAGCAACGGUUUAUCGUUGUUUACAGAUUUAAUAGAUUAAUACAUUAAAUUCCCGUCUGUAGCUUACCUUCCCGACUUCUCACCUACAACAGUGGCUGCACCCGCGUGCGAAUUAUGUUCGUCCUUUUUUUUUUUCUUCAAACUAAAAAUCGAAAAGGAAUUCGAUCCUUAUUCUGCAAUAAUGAACAAUUCAAUAGUUAUUUUCAUGUGCAAAACUAUGAGAUACGCGUUUCACACGAAAACAUUGACGAAAAACCUAAGUAGUAAGUAUACAAAAUAUUAUUACUUUGACACACAAGAGGAAUAAGUGAAAACAAAAUUAUUAACACAAUUGUUUUCCAAAAAUGAAAGGUUAUAUUUUUAUUAUCUACAACAUUCGUGGGCGAAAUUAAUAAUGUGUUAAUUGUUGGUAACAUCGGUUCAAUAAGUUCAGUAGGUAUUGCUAUCAUAGAUAUUUUAUUAUUAUCCAAGGUUGUGAGGUGGCAGCCCGCGUAUGCGAGAUAACACCGACCGCCGCAGUUGUAAUAAUAACAAAACCAUUGUUUAUAACGAUUAUCACCACAAUUAGACAAAAAUAUCUAGUAAUCUUAUAAAUCUAAUAGCCAAUAGGCACUAUCUUAUUCUGUGAUAAUAAAGUGAUAUUAUUAAUAGACAGCGAUAGUAAUCUAAAUUAUUUACUUACGAAAAUAGUGUAUUUUAAAAAAACCUGUCCUUAUACUUAAUAAUUAUUGUUACAGUUGAAACUUGAAAAAUAUACAAAAUGCAUAUAUAUAUAAAUAUGAAUACGGUCAAUAGGGGGGGGGGCUCAGCCCCUUACCACCCGUGUAUACACCUUAUGUCUAGUCCAGGAACUAAAAUAUUUCAAGAGACACAAUUUUUAAUUAAAUUAUUGAUAGAAUUGAUAAAUUUCCAUAGCAAUCAAUAAAAAUAAACCUGUAGAACAUCACAAAAUAAAUAUAAGUACAGUUUUAAAAAGUAUCACUAAUAUAAAACAGUUUAAAAUGAAUAAUAUGUAUUGGUUAGAAUGAAAUAAUUAGUAGAUUGUUAUCAAAUUUACUGUUAUUUCUACAAUUAAAAUUAAUAUACACACUAUUUUAGGCCAUGCUCUGGUCCCCAAUUAAGCUCAGCUUAAAAUUCAUUUAUAGAUACAGAAUUCAAAAUAAAAUCUUAACACUUUGGACUUAUACUUUGAAAGGACUUCAAUUCCUACUUAAAAUAAUACAUAACCACUCUGCUGAGAAAGGGGAAUGGAUACUCCAAACAACUCCAUGUAAUUACACCUUCUGUUUAGGCUUUCUUUUAAGUAGUUACUGCAAUCACCCUGUAAUAGUAGGCUGAGUAGCCAAUACGGGCUGGCAAGCAGCAAACAUUGCAUUUUCUCAAGAUAUUUUUCAAUAAAUCAAUUCCCCUACAACUUCAAGGAAACUUAUUUAUCAUUUGAUGUUGAGGUCAAUUGUUUUUGAUAAAAAUUGUAAUUAUUUUUCAUAACAUAUUUGUAAUGAACAUUUACAUUUUUCUAACUUUAGAAAAGUUUGGAUUGACAUCACAAAUUUCACCAAUUUUGUGACAAGUUUUAAAACUGAUCUAUAAAGUCACCGAUUUCAAACAAAACUAAAACACGUGCAACUGUUUAUUAGCAGCUUUACUUAGUAGGAAAACUGGAUGAAUGAAGAAACAAGAGUUUUUAAAUGUGAUCAAGGAUCUCUACAAAUAGAAAUUAUUAAAUUCCAAGAAGAUAAUGUUCUAAAAAAUCUAUACAAUGAAAACUUUUAAAAACUAAGGGACUGGUUAAAAUUUCUGUCAAAAAAUGAACCGAAAAAAAAAAACCAGACAUUUAAAUUAUUAAUAGUUAAGAUGUGUACCUAUGCUAUUUGGCUCUACAUACAUCUGUGAGUUGCUUUUUCAAAAAUGAAUUGUAUCAUGAAGUUAUACAGAUGUCGAUUUACGAACAAAUUCCAUGCAAAAAAGAUGAUGAAGAUAAUGAAGAAAGUAGCUAUUUUCUUACUGAAAAAAUAAUAUUUUACUUUUUAAUUUUUUGAUUUUCUGUAAUUUUCAUAAGUUUUCAUAUUAAAAUAUUUAUAUUCAGUUAUUUAUUAAAUAAAGUUAUAAGUAGG